rnacentral:rRNA from 1 species
UACAGAGGGUGCAAGCGUUAAUCGGAUUUACUGGGCGUAAAGCGUGUGUAGGUGGCUUCCUAAGUCGGUUGUGAAAUCCCUGGGCUCAACCUGGGAAUUGCAGUCGAUACUGGGAAGCUCGAGUUCGGUAGAGGGCGGCGGAAUUCCAGGUGUAGCGGUGAAAUGCGUAGAUAUCUGGAGGAACACCGGUGGCGAAGGCGGCAUCCUGGACCGACACUGGCACUGAGGAGCGAAAGCCAGGGGAGCAAACGGG